GCCCGGGAUGGGGUGGGGAGCCUGCCACUCUUGCUGGCAACCGUUAAGACAAGCAUGAAGAUAAAAUCCAGGAAGCUAAGCAUGGAAGAGGGAAAGCAGACAGAGCCAGGAGCCCUGGGGCAUUGGUGAGCGCCAGAUUGCCCACGCUGGACCUCUGAUUACCAAAGGGAUGAAUCUCUAUCCUGUGAAGAGCAUAGCUGCUGAUCAUGCCAAAACUGGAGCCAUCUUAAUGUGAACAACAGCUUUCCUCCCCAUAAUGCCCGUGCCAGCCAUUGAGCCACCCAGGAGGAUCUGGGGAGCCCCAAGUCUUCAAAGCAGAAACAAAAGGGAAGACUUGUCCGAGAUUACCUUAGUAAUAAGCAGCUAAUUAUAAUAUUAAUUUGCAUAAUACCCUCCCUUUUAGCAGUGAUUUCAAUGCGAAAACCAAGUGGUAUUAAUGAAAAAAAAAUAGUUUCCAGCUGCCUAAGCCCAGAGGCUAAUCCAGGAAUUGAUGCCCUUGCAACAAUGACCAUAAGAUCUCCUUGUGGGCAGAGCCUCUGAAGGCCUGUUUGGGCAGCUAACCCUUCUUUUGAGCGCUCUUUUUUACCUUCAGUGGUUGAGACUGAGGUCUUAAAACUGCUCCUGCCAAUGACAACCAAAGUUACCUGCCAGAGCAGAAAGAAACAAAAGAAAAGGAAAAUCUUAAAUUAUGCGUUCCCUUCUUUAGAAUGGGCCUGUGGUUGGGGGCUGGCAUGUGGGCAUCAGUGGAAGAAAUUGGAGAAGGUGGAAGUGUUCAUGUGAAAAAAAAUGGUUCAACAAUUUCUUAUAAAGUUAAACCCUAUGACUCAGCAAAUCUACUCCUGGGUAUGUACCUAUGAGAAAUGAAGCAUAUGUUCACCAAAAGACUUGUAAAAGAAUGUUCGGAGCACUUUAUUUUUCAUAGCCUCAAACUGAAAACAAACCGAAUGUCCAUUACCAGGAGGGUGGAAGAACAUACUGUGGAAUAUUUACGUAAUAAACUAAUAAAAUACAGACAUACACAA